UGGGAUAGCUCAGUCAGUAGAGCAUGAGACUCUUAACUCAGGGUCGUGGUUUUGAGCCCCACAUUGAGCAAAA
rnacentral:tRNA from 1 species